rnacentral:lncRNA from 10 species
AUCUCUUUGCUGAAAAAGCUGGCUGUUGCUCCAGGCCCCUCGGUGGGUGUUCAAGGAGGAAGACCCUAUUCACCUGAGGUGUCACAGCUGGAAGAACACUGCUCUGCAUAAGGUCACAUAUUUACAGAAUGGCAAAGACAGGAAGUAUUUUCAUCAUAAUUCUGACUUCCACAUUCCAAAAGCCACACUCAAAGAUAGCGGCUCCUACUUCUGCAGGGGGCUUGUUGGGAGUAAAAAUGUGUCUUCAGAGACUGUGAACAUCACCAUCACUCAAGGUUUGGCAGUGUCAACCAUCUCAUCAUUCUCUCCACCUGGGUACCAAGUCUCUUUCUGCUUGGUGAUGGUACUCCUUUUUGCAGUGGACACAGGACUAUAUUUCUCUGUGAAGACAAACAUUUGAAGCUCAACAAGAGACUGGAAGGACCAUAAACUUAAAUGGAGAAAGGACCCUCAAGACACAUGACCCCCAUCCCAUGGGGGUAAUAAGAGCAGUGGCAGCAGCAUCUCUGAACAUUUCUCUGGAUUUGCAACCCCAUCAUCCUCAGGCCUCUCUACAAGCAGCAGGAAACAUAGAACUCAGAGCCAGAUCCUUUAUCCAACUCUCGAUUUUUCCUUGGUCUCCAGUGGAAGGGAAAAGCCCAUGAUCUUCAAGCAGGGAAGCCCCAGUGAGUAGCUGCAUUCCUAGAAAUUGAAGUUUCAGAGCUACACAAACACUUUUUCUGUCCCAACCAUUCCCUCACAGCAAAGCAACAAUACAGGCUAGGGAUGGUAAUCCUUUAAACAUACAAAAAUUGCUCGUAUUAUAAAUUACCCAGUUUAGAGGGAAAAAAAGAAAAUAAUUAUUCCUAAACAAAUGGAUAAGUAGAAUUAAUGGUUGAGGCAGGACCCUACAGAGUGUGGGAACUGCUGGGGAUCUAGAGAAUUCAGUGGGACCAAUGAAAGCAUGGCUGAGAAAUAGCAGGGUAGUCCAGGAUAGUCUAAGGGAGGUGUUCCCAUCUGAGCCCAGAGAUAAGGGUGUCUUCCUAGAACAUUAGCCGUAGUGGAAUUAACAGGAAAUCAUGAGGGUGACGUAGAAUUGAGUCUUCCAGGGGACUCUAUCAGAACUGGACCAUUUCCAAGUAUAUAACGAUGAGUCCUCUAAUGCUAGGAGUAGAAAAUGGUCCUAGGAAGGGGACUGAGGAUUGGGGUGGGGGUGGGGUGGAAAAGAAAGUACAGAACAAACCCUGUGUCACUGUCUCAAGUUAAGCUAAGUGAACAGAACUAUCUCAGCAUCAGAAUGAGAAAGCCUGAGAAGAAAGAACCAACCAGAAGCACACAGGAAGGAAAGCGCAGGAGGUGAAAAUGCUUUCUUGGCCGGGGUAGUAAGAAUUAGAGGUUAAUGCAGGGACUGUAAAACCACCUUUUCUGCUUCAAUGUCUAGUUCCUGUAUAGCUUUGUUCAUUGCAUUUAUUAAACAAAUGUUGUAUAACCAAUACUAAAUGUACUACUGAGCUUCACUGAGUUACGCUGUGAAACUUUCAAAUCCUUCUUCAUGUCAGUUCCAAUGAGGUGGGGAUGGAGAAGACAAUUGUUGCUUAUGAAAGAAAGCUUUAGCUGUCUCUGUUUUGUAAGCUUUCAGUGCAACAUUUCUUGGUUCCAAUAAAGCAUUUUACAAGAUCUUGCAUGCUACUCUUAGAUAGAAGAUGGCAAAAC